rnacentral:rRNA from 1 species
UACGUAGGGUGCAAGCGUUAAUCGGAAUUACUGGGCGUAAAGCGUGCGCAGGCGGUUUUGUAAGACUGUCGUGAAAUCCCCGGGCUCAACCUGGGAAUUGCGAUGGAGACUGCAAGGCUAGAAUCUGGCAGAGGGGGGUAGAAUUCCACGUGUAGCAGUGAAAUGCGUAGAGAUGUGGAGGAACACCGAUGGCGAAGGCAGCCCCCUGGGUCAAGAUUGACGCUCAUGCACGAAAGGCGUGGGGAGCAAACAGG